rnacentral:rRNA from 1 species
UUUUACAGAUUUCUUCGGAAUGAAGUUUUAGUGACUGAGUGGCGGACGGGUGAGUAACGCGUGGGUAACCUGCCUCACACAGGGGGAUAACAGUUGGAAACGGCUGCUAAUACCGCAUAAGCGCACAGUACCGCAUGGUACAGUGUGAAAAACUCCGGUAGUGUGGGAUGGACCCGCGUCUGAUUAGCUAGUUGGCAGGGCAACGGCCUACCAAGGCGACGAUCAGUAGCCGACCUGAGAGGGUGACCGGCCACAAUGGGACUGAGACACGGCCCAAACUCCUACGGGAGGCAGCAGUGGGGAAUAUUGCACAAUGGGGGAAACCCUGAUGCAGCGACGCCGCGUGAGCGAAGAAGUAUUUCGGUAUGUAAAGCUCUAUCAGCAGGGAAGAAGAAAUGACGGUACCUGACUAAGAAGCACCGGCUAAAUACGUGCCAGCAGCCGCGGUAAUACGUAUGGUGCAAGCGUUAUCCGGAUUUACUGGGUGUAAAGGGAGCGCAGGCGGAAGGCUAAGUCUGAUGUGAAAGCCCGGGGCUCAACCCCGGUACUGCAUUGGAAACUGGUCAUCUAGAGUGACGGAGGGGUAAGUGGAAUUCCUAGUGUAGCGGUGAAAUGCGUAGAUAUUAGGAGGAACACCAGUGGC